CCUACGGGAGGCUGCAGUGAGGAAUAUUGGUCAAUGGCCGGAAGGCUGAACCAGCCAAGCCGCGUGAAGGACGAAGGUGCCAAGCAUUGUAAACUUCUUUUGUCAAGGGACAAAAUCAGGCUCGAGAGCCUGACCGAGGGUACUUGAAGAAAAAGCAUCGGCUAACACCGUGCCAGCCGCCGCGGUAAUACGGAGGAUGCGAGCGUUAGCCGGAUUUAUUGGGUUUAAAGGGUGCGUAGGCGGACUGUUAAGUCAGCGGUAAAAGCCCGGGGCUCAACCCCGGCGAGCCGUUGAAACUGGGUGUCUUGAGAGGUCGAGAGGGAGGCGGAAUGCGAAGUGUAGCGGUGAAAUGCUUAGAUAUAGCGCAGAACUCCGAUGGCGAAGGCAGCAUACCGGCGGGGAUCUGACGCUGAGGCACGAAAGCGUGGGGAUCGAACAGGAUUAGAUACCCCUGUAGUC
rnacentral:rRNA from 1 species